CCUAACCCACCUUAUUCUCCUCCCUCUUCUUCUUCCUCCUUUCCCUCUCUUGUUGAAGCCGCCGGCCCCCCUCCCAUUCGGAUUCCUCCUCUCCGGCGAGCAGCACCGUUCAGGCGACGCGACAGGCAGCAGCGGCAUCAGACAGUAGCAGGCGCGGGCGUCGGGCAGCUGCUGGCGCGGCGUUGGGCACCAGCAGGCGGCGGCGGUGCGUGGUUGCUGUUCGUGGUGUUUUUUUCUUCGAUCCGACAAACUCCAAUGACUUGAAUAGCUUAGAUCCGUGAAGCCCGUAACGGGCAUCAAGACGAAGCCGUUGGAGGUCGUUUUGGUGUAUUUCUCUGCUGAAAAAACGUGGACAACAGCGUUUUGGUGGUGUUCGGCGAUUUCCUUCAUCCGUUUGAAGCCCGAUUUACGCUACCCACACCUUUGCAAGCUAGAUMUAAGUUACCCACACCUACACGAGGUCGACUUUGCGGUGUGAGAUCGAUGCAAGACUUAGGGACRUGGUUGGUAAGUAGCACUAGGGGGCGAGUGUGUGCAUUAUUUAGCGUUAACGGAGUGGUUUUGAUGCUGAUUUUAGAUUGAAUAAUUCAUUUAUGCAUGUAUGGGUUGUUAGUUUUUGGUUUGUGAACUUUUAGUGAUUUUGUUGAGUUACAUGUUAUUGUUUUCAUUGUUGGACAUUAUGAGAAUACAUGUUUUCUUAUCGUUGUAUGUGAYUGGACAAUUUUGAUUGUUGUGUUGGGAGUAAUCGACUUGUGGCGUUAUGUGAACAUAUUGGAAAUGAGAUGCUCGCGUUGAUAGUUUGAUAAAUUGUUUAUACUGUUCGGUUGGGAACUGUUGGUCUAGUGCUUUGUUGGUUAUAAUGAAAAGCAUGCUGGUGAGUUGUGCUGUGAAUUGAAAUGUGGGUUGCUUAGAUUGAAAAUGCUUACUAACGGCUUGGUUAUUCAAGCCUUG